GAGCAGAACAAGGAAAAUUAAGCAUACCUGGGCCUUUAGUGAAUGCUAAAUGCUAGGCCACAGCUUUGCCAUAUAGUAAUCUGUAUUAGUUUAACAGACAUGCCCUAAUUACUUAUUGCAAAAUAUAAAGUUCUUACUUCGAAAACCUAAUGACUGUGGCUGCUACCACGUUUGCUGAUUAGACUGCAAGAUUGGACAUAUCUGUCCCUGCCCUCUAUCAGUCAAAAACGCAUAAACCGAGUCUGCAAGUAUGCAGUUUCAGCAGAACACCAACUAUAAAAACACACUCCCUCCUGCCUCAUCAAGACCUUCCUAGAACAUUCCUCUGCUGUUCCUCCUCUGGGUCACUGAAUGGCCAGUUCAUCCAGCCGGGGGGGAAUAUAAUCCUCCACAACUGAGGCAUUUUCUGAGCUCGCCUGUCUGUGAAAAGCUGUGAGAUUACUGGAACUAUUUUAAAGCUCAUUAACUUUGUGGUCACAUUUCCGUUUUAAUUUGCUUCAAAACAUCAACUGCAACUUGAUAGAUGCUAUGCUGCUUUAUCUCUCAGGCCCACAUAGAUGAGGUGAAGCGGGUGCCACGUGAUACAUGACAUUAUUAAACAAACUCGGAGAUGGUACCCAAACACCACACUCUCGGCGCACAGGGGACAGCAGCUGUCUGUUCAGGAGGGGAUGCAGAGUUGUUUAUAUGCAGGACCUGGACAAGUAAGUGUCUCAAUGUCUCCACACUCGGAAUAGAACCACUCUCAAAUAUCAAGCGGGCCGUAGGUCAGAAGCGGCCCAUGACGCUCCACUGACCUCAGCGGAGGAGAGAAACUCCUACAGCAGAGAAAAGCAGCUUUCAGGCGCUAUGAGACAGAGGUUUUUGGCUCUCUGACUUCGUAUCAUUUUAAGCUGCAAAGAGGAUUACAUGCACAAAUCCAAACAAAGCAACAGACAAAUAGUGAGGUGCGAUGUUUCAACUGCCAGAGAGGAGCUAUCGGAAAUACGUUUACAGGGAUAUAAUGUAAACAGUGUCUUUUUGUAUAAGAUGUCAAUGCAUUGUUUAAAAUUCCAUUAUGAUAGAGCUGAACAUUUGCUAUUAUAACUCAUCUUCAGUGUUGUUAUAUGUUACUUUGUGAAAAAUAAACCAUGCGUAAAUAAUUAUACAUUUAAAGAGAUAGUCCAGCCAAAAAUUAA